AGUCCCGGCAAACUCCGUGCCAGCAGCCGCGGUAAUACGGAGGGGGCAAGCGUUGUUCGGAAUUAUUGGGCGUAAAGGGCAUGUAGGCGGUUCGGUAAGUUAAAGGUGAAAUGCCAGGGCUUAACCCUGGAGCUGCUUUUAAUACUGCCAGACUCGAGUCCGGGAGAGGAUAGCGGAAUUCCUAGUGUAGAGGUGAAAUUCGUAGAUAUUAGGAGGAACACCAGUGGCGAAGGCGGCUAUCUGGUCCGGUACUGACGCUGAGGUG
rnacentral:rRNA from 1 species